rnacentral:rRNA from 1 species
CCUACGGGUGGCAGCAGUGGGGAAUAUUGCGCAAUGUGCGAAAGCCUGACGCAGCGACGCCGCGUGAGGGCUGAAGGUCUUCGGAUCGUCAACCUCUGUCAGCAGGGAAGAACGGUCACUGUGCUAAUCAGCAGUGAAUUGACGGUACCUGCAAAGGAAGCACCGGCUAACUCCGUGCCAGCAGCCGCGGUAAUACCGAGGGUGCGAGCGUUAAUCGGAAUUACUGGGCGUAAAGCGCGCGUAGGCGGUAUGUCGAGUCACGGGUGAAAUCCCCGCGCUCAACGUGGGAACUGCCUUUGAAACUGGUCAACUGGAGGGUGUGAGAGGAUAGUGGAAUUCCAGGUGUAGGAGUGAAAUCCGUAGAUAUCUGGAGGAACAUCAGUGGAGAAGGCGACUAUCUGGCACAUAACUGACGCUGAGGAGCGAAAGCGUGGGUAGCAAACAGGAUUAGAUACCCGUGUAGUC